AGUAGAAUGGCUGAGGAAUAGGUAAAAGAUUGUAAAUCUUUUAAGGAGUUAAUACUCUUCUACUA
rnacentral:tRNA from 1 species